GAUGAACGCUAGCGACAGGCCUAACACAUGCAAGUCGAGGGGCAGCAUAAAGGUAGCAAUACUUUGGUGGCGACCGGCGCACGGGUGAGUAACACGUAUGCAACCUACCUGUAAGAGGGGAAUAACCCGGAGAAAUUCGGACUAACACCGCAUAAUACCGCGAGACUGCAUGGUCUUGUGGUUAAAUAUUUAUAGCUUACAGAUGGGCAUGCGUAUGAUUAGCUAGUUGGUGAGGUAACGGCUCACCAAGGCAACGAUCAUUAGGGGUUCUGAGAGGAAGGUCCCCCACACUGGUACUGAGACACGGACCAGACUCCUACGGGAGGCAGCAGUGAGGAAUAUUGGUCAAUGGGCGAGAGCCUGAACCAGCCAAGUCGCGUGAAGG
rnacentral:rRNA from 1 species